rnacentral:rRNA from 1 species
CAGCCGCCGCGGGAACACGAAAGGUCCAAGCGUUACUCGGAAUCACUGGGCGUAAAGCGCGCGUAGGCGGUCUUGUAUGUCGAUUGUGAAAGCCCCGGGCUCAACCUGGGAACUGCAGUCGAAACUGCAAGACUUGAAUGUUGGAGAGGUUGGGGGAAUACCUAGUGGAGAAGUGAAAUUCGUAGAGAUUAGGUGGAACACCAGAGGCGAAGGCGCCUGACUGGCCAAACAUUGACGCUAAGGCGCGAAAGCGUGGGUAGCAAACAGGAUUAGAUACCCCUGUAGUCCCUGUCUCUUAUAC